GCUUAAUAUUUGGUACCUAUUAUUCAUUCAACAAAUACUUAUGUACCAAACACCAAAAAGCAACGGAAGUUUCCCCAAGUCAGGUCAAUCUCAAAAAGUGAGAACAGUUUACAAUCCACCUCUUGUGGCCCUCUUAGCUCUCGGGGACUUUAGGUAUAUAUUUCUCCAAAAGACAUCAGGGAACACCAAGGCAGCUCUGCCUUAACUGUUUCUUAACUGUGCUAUUUGUUUCCCGGUACCCCUGUGUUCUUUGCCAGGACUGCCCAGACAAAAAUAUGACCCCCAAAACAACUCUAUGACUUUUUUCUUCCAUUAAAUUACUUAAUGAGUAAGAAGAAAAGGUUUUCAUGUUUUGGGUAUGCAGGGAGUAAGAUGUGGUUCCUGAUCUCAAGGAACUCUGUAGUCUGAAUGGGAACUUAGUGUUUGGCAUGGAAGUUCAGCUGCUAGACAAUGGUUAAGAAAGAGCUUCCUAGGAACAAGUGGGAAAACUUGAACUGAGUCAUGUCAAAUAAAACAAUCAGGUAAACAAGUCAAGGAGAUAUGAGGACUUUCCAGGCUGAUGAGAGUCAUGAGAAUGUUUGAAGUAAUGACAGCCUAGGGU
rnacentral:lncRNA from 1 species